rnacentral:rRNA from 1 species
UGGGUAAUCUUUUGAAACUUCAUCGUGAUGGGGAUAGAGCAUUGCAAUUAUUGCUCUUCAACGAGGAAUCCCUAGUAAGCAUGAGUCAUCAGCUCGUGCUGAUUACGUCCCUGCCCUUUGUACACACCGCCCGUCGCUACUACCGAUUGAAUGGCUUAGUGAGACCCUCGGAUUGAUAAGUGGAAACCUUCACAGGUAUCCUUUUGUUGAGAAGUUGGUCAAACUUGGUCAUUUAGAGGAAGUAAAAGUCGUAACAAGGUAGCCGUAGGUGAACCUGCGGAAGGAUCAUU